rnacentral:rRNA from 1 species
GGGGGCAACCCCUUGAGAGUGGCGAACGGGUGAGUAAUAUAUCGGAACGUGCCCAGUCGUGGGGGAUAACGUAGUGAAAAUUACGCUAAUACCGCAUACGAUCUAAGGAUGAAAGCGGGGGAUCGCAAGACCUCGCGCGACUGGAGCGGCCGAUAUCAGAUUAGGUAGUUGGUAGGGUAAAGGCCUACCAAGCCAACGAUCUGUAGCUGGUCUGAGAGGACGACCAGCCACACUGGAACUGAGACACGGUCCAGACUCCUACGGGAGGCAGCAGUGGGGAAUUUUGGACAAUGGGCGAAAGCCUGAUCCAGCCAUUCCGCGUGCAGGAUGAAGGCCCUCGGGUUGUAAACUGCUUUUGUACAGAACGAAAAGGUCUCUAUUAAUACUAGGGGCUCAUGACGGUACUGUAAGAAUAAGCACCGGCUAACUACGUGCCAGCAGCCGCGGUAAUACGUAGGGUGCAAGCGUUAAUCGGAAUUACUGGGCGUAAAGCGUGCGCAGGCGGUUAUAUAAGUCAGAUGUGAAAUCCCCGGGCUCAACCUGGGAACUGCAUUUGAGACUGUAUAGCUAGAGUACGGUAGAGGGGGAUGGAAUUCCGCGUGUAGCAGUGAAAUGCGUAGAUAUGCGGAGGAACACCGAUGGCGAAGGCAAUCCCCUGGACCUGUACUGACGCUCAUGCACGAAAGCGUGGGGAGCAAACAGGAUUAGAUACCCUGGUAGUCCACGCCCUAAACGAUGUCAACUGGUUGUUGGGUCUUAACUGACUCAGUAACGAAGCUAACGCGUGAAGUUGA